UCUUUACUUCUUCGUUCUUCUUCUUGCUUAAACCAAUCAA
rnacentral:sRNA from 1 species